CUCUUAAACAAAGCCUGACUAUGACCAUAUGACCUGACCAUGACUAUGAAAAGGAUAUAUUCUGAAUCAGGGGAGGAUGGAGAAAAAUCCACUUUUUAUUUGUAUAGAGCCGUGGAUUUUUGUUUAUCCUUCUCUGAUUCAGAAUAUAACAUUUUCAUAGUCAUGGCACGCUUGGUUCAAUAGCUAUUGAUGAAAUAAAACACAAUUUCCACCAAAUAUCCAAUAUCAAACUACUUUUACCUCGGUCCACACUUAGGAGCAGACAAAUAGUGGCAUUCAAUCAAGGGCACAGCCACAUUCAAAUCAACAAAUAGUGAAAUACUGUGAUAAUGUUGCCCACCUGUGUCCGUGGUGAGAGGUGAAGAGCCCAUAUAAGAUCCGUAACAACCGUAAGAGGUGGGGAACCCAAACUCAUACAUCCCGGAACUGUAGAGACCGUUAUUCCCAUUAUAUUCCAGCAAAGAAUGAGAGUCAAACUUCAGCUGGCCAUGCGGUGGAUCCGAGCAGUGUCCGGUUGGUUGGUUAGGGAAGAAGUUGUAUCCUGUAGCCCUUGAAAUGGGUAAGAUUUGAGAUUCCUUUGAGUCGUGCAUGGUGUAGUGAAUCGAGGUAGUCUGAGUUGAUUGCAUAGCUGUGUCAGCAGUCUGUAAAACUCCAGUUAUGGCACCAUAACGCUAUGCAGACCUGCAAACAACUGCCGAAAUUAAGUCUUUUAGGAUAAUAUUUCUAUUCCAUUCUAUUCUAAAAGUAGUUCUCCAAGGUAAUUGUCCACUGUCUAAGUCUCCAAUGAUUGCCUACACGUGGCAAAUUAUGAUCAAAUAGCCCACUGUUAUCAUGAGAGUUUACCGUUUAUCUGUUUCUACUCUAUAGCCUAGAUAUGUUGGAGUGGUGUCAUCUCCUAUUCAAGCCAUGGAAUGACUGAAGCUUCAGGUGUCUGCUCUUCAGGAUGAGACGGUCUGGUCUGACGUGAACCAGGAGACUGAUGGUACGCUCAACUCGCACUCACCUUCGGAUCAGCGAGAGGUUAUGGCGCCAUCUGGGGGUCUUUGUGUGAUGUUGCUACAACCCGGCAGACACAUACCAAUAGUCUACUCCACCUUACACACUUCAUAAUUACCAACGGCGCCAGUGCUCACCCACACAGGCGAGCAAAACAACCAUUAAGGGUGACUGAGGGUAUAUUUACACUGUCUAUGUGUGCCCACCACGCAUUAAGGCUUACCUCUGACUCCACUGUAAAUAUAAAUCAUGAUCUUGAGACCACAGCAGCAGCUGCAAGUGGGGUAUAGGCUAGGCUGUGUCUCAAUAGUCUGAAGUUGCUUCCUCUCCUUCCUCUGCCUUUAUCUGAAAACACAGGCUAGUUGAAAGCGCACCAUUAAUAUAUCAUCACCUGUCCAUAUGAAGACUAUCAAUAUGGACCCCUCCAUUUCCUUUACUUCACAUUAGUGUUGAGUCAUGGGGGACAUUUUUACUGUACUUGAUAACCACAUGGCCACUAGAUGGCCUUGCACGGCUCUUUAUGUACAGCGUGUAGCCUUAGUAAUAACAGUAUCCCUGUAUGCAUAAAAGCCAAGGCCCUUUACCAACAUGUCAGGAGCGUUAUGGCACUUGUGGUAGUGCACUAGCUAUAUUUCCGCAGGGUCACUGGUUCAAACCCAGCUCUGGCUGUCGCCACAGUGUGUUGUUUAGGAGGAAGAUAAACGCAAACAUAACAUUUACUGCUAUUACAUUGUCAAAGUAAUGUAAGCCACACUGAUGCCUCAAUGGAAAUGUCUAAUUAUGAAAUGUUAGAUACUUUAGCUGUAUUGUUCUGUAGUCGUAGUGUUCUUUGUUUUUAAAUUUGUGUUGCUGUUCUUGUCUUUUGGUGUUCAGUAUUAUUUCAUGUUUUGUGUGGACCCCAGGAAGAGUAGCUGCUGCUUCUUCAACAGCUAAUGGGAUCCUGAAUAAAAUCAUGAAUCAUAAAAUGA